GGGCCGGGCCGGGCGGGGCGGGGCCGGAGCGCGCGCACUCGGCUUCCCGCGCUGCCGCGGCUGAGGGGGCGCGCGGGGCGGGGGCGCUGAGGGGAGGCUGUGAGGCACCGGGGCUGUGCCGCUGCCCCUCGCUUCGGUGUCACUGCGCCCCUCGCCGCUGUGGCACGGCUGCUGUCACGUAGCGCGCGGAGAAGGAGAUGGUCGCCCUCCCGUCACGGCACAGCCAUGGCUGCCUCUGCCCAAGCCCCUUCUCGCUCCGGUGCCGCGGUUGGCGCUGGGUGCCCGCCGGGCCCUGCUCUGUACUGGUCGUGCUGCGCCUUUGUUCUGCUGGCCCGGCUCGGUCCGGCUCGGGUCACGCCGUGCCAGGCUGCAGCUGGAGGAUGGGGCCGCUCCGUGCGGCGUCUCCCGGGAGCUCCGCGGCUCCCCGGCCAUCUGCGGGUCAGCGAGAGACAGCCGGCAGCAUCUGGCAGGCGCGGCCGCGGAGCUGCAAUCGCCCAGCAGCGGCAGGGUGCGCGGGCAGCAGGCUGGGCAGGCAUUUCGGGCAGCGGGUCAGAGCGCGCAGAUCUCGCCAAUUUGUGUGACUCGAAUAAGACGCAAAGCCAGCAGCCGGGGACAAUGCAGCGGGAGCCAUUGUUGAAGAAAAAGACAGUCACAUGUACCAAUACAGUGAUGUGGAUCCUUCAGGAAGGCUAAUUAAAGCAGCGUGGAAAAAGAAAACUACACCAAGUUGGCAUGACCUAUACACUGGUAAGGACAGAUAUGCAAACAUACAGAAUUUUAGUUAUAAUCACCAUGGCCCAUAAAUCAGCCUGCUUCUGGAAGAUACUCUUAUUGUAAUGAAUUUCCUCAAUAUCUUGUUUUUGACAACAGUCAGAGAUAACAAGCCAUCAGCAAGAAGAAAUAUGACACCUGACAUUUUAAGUGGCCUGUUAGUAUUAUUUAUUCUGCUAAAAAAUACAGUUCCUCAUCCACUAAGUGUUGAAAGGAGGAAGCAAAGAGCAUCUCUCACUGUAAAUUCAUGACAAGUGUGCUAUCCCAGGCAUCCCUCAUAUGAGAAGGGAACAUUUGGCUUCAUACGAAGAUGCUGACUGCAGUUCAUUGUGGCUGUAGGAAGGAAUUUGGCAUGAAGGAUUCACACAGCAGCCAUUUGGAUUGCAGGAAAACCUGUGUUGCCAGAGCUCAGGAGACUCCAU